GUGAAGAACGCAGCGAAAUGCGAUAAGUAGUGUGAAUUGCAGAAUUCAGUGAAUCAUCGAAUCUUUGAACGCACAUUGCGCCCCUUGGUAUUCCAUGGGGCAUGCCUGUUCGAGCGUCAUUUGUACCUUCAAGCCUUGCUUGGUGUUGGGUGUUUGUCUCGCCUCUGCGCGCAGACUCGCCUCAAAACAAUUGGCAGCCGGCGUAUUGAUUUCGGAGCGCAGUACAUCUCGCGCUUUGCACUCAGAACGACGACGUCCAAAAGUACAUUUUUACACUCUUGACCUCGGAUCAGGUAGGGAUACCCGCUGAACUUAAGCAUAUCAAUAAGCGGAGGA
rnacentral:misc_RNA from 1 species